UACGUAGGGUGCGAGCGUUAAUCGGAAUUACUGGGCGUAAAGCGUGCGCAGGCGGUUUUGUAAGUCUGUCGUGAAAGCCCCGGGCUCAACCCGGGAAUUGCGAUGGAGACUGCAAGGCUUGAAUCUGGCAGAGGGGGGUAGAAUUCCACGUGUAGCAGUGAAAUGCGUAGAGAUGUGGAGGAACACCGAUGGCGAAGGCAGCCCCCUGGGUCAAGAUUGACGCUCAUGCACGAAAGCGUGGGGAGCAAACAGG
rnacentral:rRNA from 1 species